rnacentral:rRNA from 1 species
CACGUAGGGGGCGAGCGUUGUCCGGAAUUACUGGGCGUAAAGGGCGCGCAGGCUGUUAUGCGAGUCUGCUGUGAAAUGUACCGGCUCAACCGGUGCCUUGCGGCGGAUACUGCAUAGCUGGAGUACUGGAGAGGGAAGUGGAAUUCCCGGUGUAGCGGUGAAAUGCGUAGAGAUCGGGAGGAACACCAGUGGCGAAGGCGGCACUCUGGUCUAUACCUGACGCUGAGGCGCGAAAGCCAGGGGAGCAAACAGGAUUAGAUA